rnacentral:rRNA from 1 species
CCAAUCAAACUCGGUGAUAGCUGGUUCUCCCCGAAAUGCAUUUAGGUGCAGCGUCGUGAGUUCAGUAUCGGAGGUAGAGCUACUGGAUGGUUUAGGGGGCCUACAAGCUUACCAACAUCAGCCAAACUCCGAAUGCCGAUACUCCAGAUCACGGCAGUGAGACUAUGGGGGCUAAGCUUCAUAGUCGAGAGGGAAACAGCCCAGAGCGCCAACUAAGGUCCCAAAUUUAUACUCAGUGGUAAACGAUGUGGGAAUGCCUAGACAGCCAGGAGGUUGGCUUAGAAGCAGCCAUCCUUGAAAGAGUGCGUAAUAGCUCACUGGUCGAGUGUUCCUGCGCGGACAAUGUAACGGGGCUCAAGUAUAAAACCGAAGUUGCGUCAUUAGGAUAAUUUAUUAUUACUGAUGGGUAGGGGAGCGUCGAGUUCGACUGUGAAGCCAGAUGAUAACGUCUGGUGGAGUGGACUCGAGUGAGAAUGCUGGCAUGAGUAGCGAACGAAGGGGGAGGAACCCUUCCUCCGAAUAUCCAAGGGUUCCUGGGCAAGGCUCAUCCGCCCAGGGUUAGUCGGGAGCUAAGGCGAGGCCGAAAGGCGUAGUCGAUGCACAACUGGUUGAUAUUCCAGUACCACCAUAUUCGCGCCCAGCCUAAGCUAAUUUGCUAAGUGGCUGUUAAUUUAUUAACGAAACGACCCAAUUAGUGCAUGGUAAUUGUAGGGGGACGCAGGAAGGUAGAUCUGACAGGUGAUGGUUAUCCUGGAAGUAAGUAAGUAGGGAGUGUGAUAGGAAAAUCCGUUGCACAUUAAUCCUGAGAUACGACACGUAGCCGAUUUAGGCGAUUUGAUUGAUCCUAUGCUGCCUAGAAAAGCCUAGCAAUGAGUUAAUAUGGUGCCCGUACCCCAAACCGACACAGGUAGAUAAGUAGAGAAUACUAAGGAGAGCGAGAUAACUCCGGUUAAGGAACUCGGCAAAAUGCCCCCGUAACUUCGGGAUAAGGGGGGCCUCAGUAAAGUGAUUGUCUUCGCGACAUGAGCUUGAGGAGGCCGCAGUGACUAGAGCCAAGCGACUGUUUACCAAAAACACAGGUGCAUGCGAAGCCGUAAGGCGAUGUAUAUGCACUGACGCCUGCCCAAUGCUGGAAGGUCACGGAGAGAGGUUAGCGCUUGUCGCGAAGCUUCGAACUUAAGCCCCAGUGAAUGGCGGCCGUAACUAUAACGGUCCUAAGGUAGCGAAAUUCCUUGUCGGGUAAGUU